rnacentral:rRNA from 1 species
GAUGAACGCUGGCGGCGUGCCUAAUACAUGCAAGUCGAGCGAACGGACGAGAAGCUUGCUUCUCUGAUGUUAGCGGCGGACGGGUGGGUAACACGUGGAUAACCUACCUAUAAGACUGGGAUAACUUCGGGAAACCGUAGCUAAUACCGGAUAAUAUUUUGAACUGCAUGGUUCAAAAGUGAAAGACGGUCUUGCUGUCACUUAUAGAUGGAUCCGCGCUGCAUUAGCUAGUUGGUAAGGUAACGGCUUACCAAGGCAACGAUGCAUAGCCGACCUGAGAGGGUGAUCGGCCACACUGGAACUGAGACACGGUACAGACUCCUACGGGAGGCAGCAGUAGGGAAUCUUCCGCAAUGGGCGAAAGCCUGACGGAGCAACGCCGCGUGAGUGAUGAAGGUCUUCGGAUCGUAAAACUCUGUUAUUAGGGAAGAACAUAUGUGUAAGUAACUGUGCACAUCUUGACGGUACCUAAUCAGAAAGCCACGGCUAACUACGUG